rnacentral:lncRNA from 10 species
AGGCGGGACAAAGAGAUUUAAUAUGGAGUCAAGCAACCAUCUUUUUUGCUAACAAUGUAGAAUUCAACUUUUGUAGAUGAAAGUUUAACAUCAAUGCACAUUAAUUGCCAAAGACACCAAGGAGUAUUCAACCCAGCUAUCAAGUUGCUUUCACUUUAUAGUGUUGUACAAACAGAGCCCUUAUUUCAGGCUGUUCUAACAAAAUGCCAUAAAUUGGGUGGCCCAUAAACCACAGACAUCCGUGCAUCCCAGUUCUUGGGGCUGGAAAUCCAAGAUCAAGACACCAGCACCUGGGGUGUGGUGAGGGCCCGCGCUCUGGUUUAUAGAUGGCGCCUCCUCGCUGUGUCCUCACGUGGUGGAAGGGAUGAACAAGCUCCCAUUUCAUAAGGACACUCAUCCCAUUCAUGAGGGUUCUGCCCUCAUGACCUAAUCCCCUUCCCAAAGACCCCACCUCCUAUACCAUCGCCUUGGGAGUUAGAAUUUCAACACAAGAAUUUGGGGGAACACAAACAUUCUGACCAUAGCAGCCCUCUUCGCUCUAGAGCAAAAUAUAAAGACAAAUAUUUGGAACAGAUUAAUUAGGAAAAACCAAAACCGUUGUCAUCAGAAACAGCCCGAGAAGGCUUACUAUGAAGACAGCAUUACAUUAUGGUUUUGAUGAACAGUUAAUUUCAGUUGAUGAACAAGUAACAAAAAAAUUCAAAUACAAGUGCUAGUAACUAUAACAAAAUUCAAAGACCUUUUCCUAACACUUCAGUGUAUUCAUUAUUCCAGAGGGGAGACAGCCCAUUUCUGGAAAUGAAAAUAGCCUUUGAAAUGAAAAUGAAGGAACCAGGUUACCAAUCAAUGAGAACAAGAAGAUGCUCCCAUGCUGGGGACCACUGACGCUCUCGUGUGGCUGGUUUAAUUUUCAGCAUUUGGUAGAGGCCAGGGUUCCCCUAGACCUUGUCUGCGAUGCUCCGAGGCCUCUCUGGUCCUUCACUGCUCUUGCCUCUCUUGCCUCAGGUGGGUUUUGCGGACCUCUCAGAUUUUUCCCAGAAACGCUGCUUCCCAGGCUCUGCUAGCAGCGGCAUGUGUACACCAUCUUUCUCACCAAGAAACAAGUGUUUUUUAAAGAGGGAGAAACAGCAGCGGCCUGGGUAAUUCGAGGAUGAUGUGCAAGGAACCUGCUCUUGUAAUAAAUACCCCAGCUAGGGCUUCCCCAGUGAAAAGCAACCCAUCCAACCCAUCAGGCUGUUUUCCAUGCUCUCCGGCAGCCACUCCUUCCACAGCGUUUGCUCCACCGCCUGUCCCCACGUUUUCCAAUAAAGCAGUUGAGGCUGGAAAAGUCAAGAGAUUGGCCUGGAAUCCAACAACUCACUAGGAAGUAAUGCCCAAAUCUGAGCCACAUCUGGAGAUUCCAAAGGUUUUUCUGUAAUCCACACAGCUUUCUUUUAGUCCAGACUUUGGAACUAGAGGUGCUGGGACUUUCAUUGUUUGCCCAUUCAUUCCAUGAGUCCUGAGCUGUUCUCAGCCCUGAGGACGCAGCCUGAGACAAAAUAGAUCAAGAUCCUUGCCCUUCGAAAGUGACAAGAAUCAGACCCCAAGCCCUCGACCUCUCCUGCACUCUCACAGGCAUGGCAGAGGUGGACGCCUCAGUCCUCCCCUGCACCCCAGCUCCAGAAGACGUUCACUCUCCCUGCCCUCCAGGGGCCCACCCCUCCCCUGAGGACAGCCAGUUGUCCUGUUACCUGAAACUUCUGAGUCACUGUCCCCAGUGCCAUUUGCCUGGGCAGGGAUUGAAGCUGAGUGAGGGGUUCAAGACUGGGCAGGACCCAGAGGACAGCACGCUGGGCUCAUGGAGCGACAUCACCAAAGGCGGGAGCACCCCAAGCUGCUCCUUGCCAGGCCAUGUCCCAGUUCCUCGGAGGGCUGGAGACCUAAGGCUGUGACCUUCAGGUGUCCUUCCUCAAGGAGGGUGCUGAGACAAGGGGCUUAAGACCCACAUCUAAUCCAGAAAGUAUUUCGAAGACAGGGUGCAAACAUGGAUCUCUCGGGGCUGGCAGAGGGGCCAUUUUAGUAAAGUAUUUCCAGGCCAACCCAGGAAAGUGCUUGAGAAAAUGAGAAGGGGAGCUGAGUCCAGGUGCUCAGGGCCCCCAUCACAGCUUCGUCCAUCACCAGCAACCCCCAACUCUCCGACGUGUUAGAAUUCAGGUGAAGAGGAAGGGCAGAAGCCCAGCAGCCGGGCCACAGUGACUCCAACCCAUCUCUCUACAAAGGCCCAGGCCCAGGCAGCCCCUCCCUCACAUCUGGAAGGUUCUGAGCACAAGCAAACCCACGGUCCUUAAUAUUUCCUGAUCUGAGCAGGUUUUUAACCAAGCUGGAAGAGACCACUUAGAAAAGAAGGAAAAUAAAAUUCCCCUUCAGAAUGCCAAGAUGGAGAGAUUUAUCUUCAUCUUUUGAAAUGCAAGACCCUUCCUGCUGCAGCUGAGACCCAUUUCCUCUUCAGUCCCAGCCUCCUACAGCAAGGACAGAGGUCUUCUGUCUCCCAGGACCCACAUAUCCAUCCCAAGGGAGAGCCUGGUUGGCCCUGCAUGGGUCACGUGCUCCUCUUGAGCUGACCACUGCAGUCGGGAGGAGGGAACACUCCACUGGGCCAGGCUGGGCCAUGUGCCACCUGUG